rnacentral:rRNA from 1 species
AAUCCAUAGGUUAAUGAGGCGAACCGGGGGAACUGAAACAUCUAAGUACCCCGAGGAAAAGAAAUCAACCGAGAUUCCCCCAGUAGCGGCGAGCGAACGGGGAGGAGCCCAGAGCCUGAAUCAGCAUGUGUGUUAGUGGAAGCGUCUGGAAAGGCGCGCGAUACAGGGUGACAGCCCCGUACACAAAAGCGCAUGUGCUGUGAGCUCGAUGAGUAGGGCGGGACACGUGGUAUCCUGUCUGAAUAUGGGGGGACCAUCCUCCAAGGCUAAAUACUCCUGACUGACCGAUAGUGAACCAGUACCGUGAGGGAAAGGCGAAAAGAACCCCGGCGAGGGGAGUGAAAAAGAACCUGAAACCGUGUACGUACAAGCAGUGGGAGCACAGGUUUACCUGUGUGACUGCGUACCUUUUGUAUAAUGGGUCAGCGACUUAUAUUCUGUAGCAAGGUUAACCGAAUAGGGGAGCCGGAGGGAAACCGAGUCUUAACCGGGCGUUAAGUUGCAGGGUAUAGACCCGAAACCCGGUGAUCUAGCCAUGGGCAGGUUGAAGGUUGGGUAACACUAACUGGAGGACCGAACCGACUAAUGUUGAAAAAUUAGCGGAUGACCUGUGGCUGGGGGUGAAAGGCCAAUCAAACCGGGAGAUAGCUGGUUCUCCCCGAAAGCUAUUUAGGUAGCGCCUCGUGAAUUCAUCUCCGGGGGUAGAGCACUGUUUCGGCUAGGGGGCCAUCCCGGCUUACCAACCCGAUGCAAACUGCGAAUACCGGAGAAUGUUAUCACGGGAGACACACGGCGGGUGCUAACGUCCGUCGUGAAGAGGGAAACAACCCAGACCGCCAGCUAAGGUCCCAAAGUCAUGGUUAAGUGGGAAACGAUGUGGGAAGGCCCAGACAGCCAGGAUGUUGGCUUAGAAGCAGCCAUCAUUUAAAGAAAGCGUAAUAGCUCACUGGUCGAGUCGGCCUGCGCGGAAGAUGUAACGGGGCUAAACCAUGCACCGAAGCUGCGGCAGCGAACGUAUCACUUAAAGCGAUUCAGCGGGUUACGAUUGACGGAGCGAAGCGACGUCAAAGCGUAUACAAAGUCGAGUCGGUUUAAGGAUACGUUCGUUGGGUAGGGGAGCGUUC